GAUGAACGCUAGCUAUAGGCUUAACACAUGCAAGUCGAGGGGAAACGGCAUUAUGUGCUUGCACAUUUUGGACGUCGACCGGCGCACGGGCGAGUAUCGCGUAUCCAACCUGCCCUUUACUUGGGGAUACCCCGUUGAAAGACGGCCCAAUACCCGAUGUAAUUCAUUGAUGGCAUCAGAUAUGAAUAAAAGAUUUAUCGGUAAAGGAUGGGGAUGCGUCUGAUUAGCUUGUUGGUGAGGUAACGGCUCACCAAGGCGACGAUCAGUAGGGGUUCUGAGAGGAAGGUCCCCCACAUUGGAACUGAGACACGGUCCAAACUCCUACGGGAGGCAGCAGUGAGGAAUAUUGGUCAAUGGGCGCAAGCCUGAACCAGCCAAGUAGCGUGCAGGAAGACGGCCCUAUGGGUUGUAAACUGCUUUUAUACGAGAAUAAUUUGAUGCACGUGUGCGUUAUUGCAUGUAUCGUAUGAAUAAGGACCGGCUAAUUCCGUG
rnacentral:rRNA from 1 species